GGUUUUGAUCUGGCUCAGAUUGAACGCCGGCGGCAUGCUUUACACAUGCAAGUCGAACGGCAGCACGAGUGCUUUGCACUUGGUGGCGAGUGGCGAACGGGUGAGUAAUACAUCGGAACGUGUCUUAAAGUGGGGGAUAACGCAUCGAAAGAUGUGCUAAUACCGCAUAAUCUCUAAGGAGAAAAGUAGGGGAUCGUAAGACCUUACGCGUUUGGAGUGGCCGAUGUCUGAUUAGCUAGUUGGUAGGGUAAAGGCUUACCAAGGCGACGAUCAGUAGUUGGUCUGAGAGGAUGGCCAANCUCACUGG
rnacentral:rRNA from 1 species